rnacentral:rRNA from 1 species
CCCGCACAAGCGGUGGAGCAUGUGGUUAAUUCGAAGCAACGCGAAGAACCUUACCAGGUCUUGACAUCCCGAUGCUAUUUCUAGAGAUAGAAAGUUACUUCGGUACAUCGGUGACAGGUGGUGCAUGGUCGUCGUCAGCUCGUGUCGUGAGAUGUUGGGUUAAGUCCCGCAACGAGCGCAACCCUUGUCCUUAGUUGCCAGCAUUAAGUUGGGCACUCUAAGGAGACUGCCGGUGUUAAACCGGAGGAAGUGGGAUGACGUCAAGUCCUCAUGGCCCUUAUGUCCAGGGCUACACACGUGCUACAAUGGCGCAUACAAAGAGAAGCGACCUCGCGAGAGCAAGCGGACCUCAUAAAGUGCGUCGUAGUCCGGAUUGGAGUCUGCAACUCGACUCCAUGAAGUCGGAAUCGCUAGUAAUCGUGGAUCAGAAUGCCACGGUGAAUACGUUCCCGGGCCUU